ACACGUAGGGGCCUGACGUUGUUCGGAAUCAUUGGGCGUAAAGGGCGCGCAGGCGGCCGUCCCAGUCCGGUGUUAAAUGGUCGGGCUCAACCCGAUCAUGCGCUGGAAACUGGGCGGCUUGAGUCCCGUAGGGGAUGCCGGACUUCCAGGUGUAGGGGUGAAAUCUGUAGAUAUCUGGAAGAACACCGAUGGCGAAGGCAGGCAUCUGGCCGGAGACUGACGCUGAGGCGCGAAGGCGCGGGGAGCGAACAGGUUUAGAUACCCUGGUAGUCCGCGCAGUAAACGAUGCGCACCAGGUGUCGGGCGGCAGCGCCCGGUACCGGAGCUAACGCGAUGAGUGCGCCGCCUGGGGAGUAUGCCCGCAAGGGUGAAACUUAAAGGAAUUGACGGGG
rnacentral:rRNA from 1 species